ensembl:lncRNA
CCGUCGGCGUUGCGUCCUUGCCGUCUGACCAAGCUGCAGCGGCCGGAGGGGCCGAGGGCACUGCGACGAUCACCUCACCCCUUCCCCACCGUCUUCGCCUGCAUCCCCCCACGACGCUUCCAAGCCCGGGCUCUGCAGUUUUCCGUCCCUCGCCGUUUUGUCGCGGGACCACCAAAUUUCUGCCUCGGAAGAAACCUUGAGCCCGGACGAGCAGUUGCAGCCGGCCUCCAUCGAGCUUUUCCAGCUCGGGCUCCACCGAGCAGCGCAUCGAGGCUGGUAGGAAGGGGGCCGGAGCGUGUUCGUGGGUGGCGGAGGGGGGCCGGCGGCAUCCUCCCGGGAUGGGAAGGAGGACAACGAGCCCGGGGAACGGUCUCCGCACCUUGAGGGACGCGGAAGAGCUGAGCGACCUCGCCGCACGCUUCUAAUUACCAUAAUCAAUUAGCCUGUCGGAAAGCUCCCAAAGCUUCGGGACGAAGAAGGAGCCCGUUCCUCCUGCCUCGUCAGCAAGUUCCCUCUCCCGCUGUAACGCGGCGGGGGAAUGAUCUCAAAAAUGCCUUUGCUCGCUCAGCUGUGAGCCUGAUCGCUUGUAACUGUCCAAACGAAGGCUUUCUCCUAAAAAAAAACCACAAUUAAACCCAGUGAGGUGAUGCUGGAGGGUGCUGUCUUCCGUGGUUAUAGGAUUCUUGGGCGAUAGCUUGUACCCAGCCAAAAAAAAAAUCAAGCCGCGGACUCUGAAGACAGGAAGCAGAGAGUGAAUGUGUGCGAUCGAGCAAGCUCAACGGCCCUUUUUUUGGGGCAAAAUCCAGCAGUUUCCGUUACCCGCGCAGUCGCGCUCUGCGUUUCCUCCAGCUGUUCCGCGCCGGUGGGCAGCAGGCAGGGGAAGGCGCGUGGAAACCUGCGGGCGGGGAAGUCCGCAGCAGCCCGUCGGGAAGAGACGGGGAUUAAGGGUCCCAGGAGCCGGCGGGGUCUGGGGGGAAAACGCCGGGAUUGCGCCUAAAGAGGAAGAACCACGUUAUGCUCCAUGUAAUCCUGAUACUGCGCGGGAGACAGCGGCAGCUGCUCCGGGAGGGGAGACAGGGGCAGCAAUUGGUGCAGUCCCCGGAGAAGGAGGGCACAAAACGGGUCGGUUGGGAGCACUUUUUGGUGGAAGUGGCGCCGUCAGUGUUGUCUAGGGCCCGACUUGGGGUACGGCUCAGGGUUCCAGUUAGGG